ACAUGAGAGAGAUCUGGCUGCGACAUCUGUCACCCCAUUGACUGCCCGGGUUGAUUUGGCUGAUCUGGCUUACUAGACAAGUGUACCCUUCCUCCCUCACUGCUCCAUGUACCUCCCUCCUGAAGGUGCACAUUUGGUUGAAAGUAAGAGGUGACAAUGUGCUAGCAGCCCUCACUCUCAGCACCUCCUCGGC
rnacentral:snRNA from 10 species